GGAGGGUUGGCCGAGCGGCUUAAGGCGCACGAUUGGAAAUCGUGUUUGCGUUAAUAGCGUAACGAGAGUUCAAAUCUCUUGCCCUCCGCCA
rnacentral:tRNA from 1 species